rnacentral:misc_RNA from 1 species
UCCAGUUUAUCACUGGCAGUUUCCUUAAAGUUCUCAGCUUAGUCUGUUAGCAACUAAGAAUGGGGGUUGCGCCCGUUAAAGGACUUAACCCAACAUCUCACGACACGAGCUGACGACAGCCAUGCACCACCUGUGCGAAGUCCGGCCGAACCGAAAGUUUGAUCUCUCAAACCGAUGACUUCCAUGUCAAGAGCUGGUAAGGUUUUUCGCGGAUUAUCGAAUUAAACCACAUGCUCCACCGCUUGUGCGGGUCCCCGUCAAUUCCUUUGAGUUUUAGCCUUGCGACCGUACUCCUCAGGCGGAUUGCUUAACGCGUUAGCUUCAACACUGCAAAUUAUUCAUUUGCAACGUUUAGCAAUCAUCGUUUAGGGCGUGGACUAC